rnacentral:misc_RNA from 1 species
UUGAAUAACUGAAGUCAGUUGAGCUGGUCCUCUGGGCAUGUGCUCGCUGCUUCUAUUCAUUCUAUCCACCUGUGCACCUUUUGUAGAGCUUUGAAGAGGGUCUUGACUUAGGUUGAGAUUAGUAUUCGGGUUUCUAUGUCUUAUACAAACUCUUUGAAUGUCUUGAAUGUCUUUAUAGGGACUUAAUUGACCCUUUAAACUUAAA